CGACGAGUUUGAUCCUGGCUCAGGAUGAACGCUAGCGGCAGGCCUAACACAUGCAAGUCGAGCGGGAUUCGGUAGCUUGCUACCGAUGAGAGCGGCGCACGGGUGCGUAACGCGUAUACAAUCUGCCUCUUACUGCGGGAUAGCCCAGAGAAAUUUGGAUUAACACCGCAUAGCAUAGUGUUCCGGCAUCGGGACGUUAUUAAAGGUUACGGUAAGAGAUGAGUAUGCGUCCUAUUAGCUAGAUGGUAAGGUAACGGCUUACCAUGGCUACGAUAGGUAGGGGCCCUGAGAGGGGGAUCCCCCACACUGGUACUGAGACACGGACCAGACUCCUACGGGAGGCAGCAGUGAGGAAUAUUGGACAAUGGGCGCAAGCCUGAUCCAGCCAUGCCGCGUGCAGGAAGACGGCCCUAUGGGUUGUAAACUGCUUUUGUACGGGAAGAAACACCACUACGCGUAGUGGCUUGACGGUACCGUAAGAAUAAGGAUCGGCUAACUCCGUG
rnacentral:rRNA from 1 species